rnacentral:rRNA from 1 species
GAUAAACGCUAGCGGCAGGCUUAACACAUGCAAGUCGAGGGGCAGCAUAGAUUGUAGCAAUACAAUUGGUGGCGACCGGCGCACGGGUGCGUAACGCGUAUGCAACCUACCCGUCACAGGGGGAUAAUCCGGAGAAAUCUGGUCUAAUACCCCAUAACAUAUGGAUCGGCAUCGGUUCAUGUUGAAAUUUUCGGAGGUGACGGAUGGGCAUGCGUAGCAUUAGCUUGUUGGUGAGGUAACGGCUCACCGAGGCGACGAUGCUUAGGGGGACUGAGAGGUUUUCCCCCCACACUGGUACUGAGACCCGGACCGGACUCCUACGGGAGGCAGCAGUGAGGAAUAUUGGUCAAUGGGCGCAAGCCUGAACCAGUCAUGCCGCGUGCAGGAUGACGGCUCUAUGAGUUGUAAACUGCUUUUGUACGAGGGUAAAGUGGGUUACGUGUAACCUUUUGAAAGUAUCGUACGAAUAAGGAUCGGCUAACUCCGUGCCAGCCGCCGCCGUAA